rfam:Ixodes scapularis strain Wikel colony gcontig_1107728753212, whole genome shotgun sequence.
CAAUGUAGGUAAGGGAAGUCGGCAAAACGGAUCCGUAACCUUGGGAUAAGGAUUGGCUCUGAGGACUGAGCCGGUCGGGCUGGGGACCUGAAGCAGGAACGGCACUGCACCGGGACUGGGCGGGGCUCGCCGUUGACGCGGCGCGGCCAAGCCCGGACCAGCGUCGGGACCUUCCUGUGGAAAGCCUCAGCUGCGCGGCGUCCGAGGGCUUCGUGCCCAAAGUGCUAUGCUUCGGCCGGCAAAAAACAGUAAACUCAGAACUGGCACGGACCGGGGGAAUCCGACUGUCUAAUUAAAACAAAGCAUUGCGAUGGCCGCUGGUCGGUGUUGAUGCAAUGUGAUUUCUGCCCAGUGCUCUGAAUGUCAACGUGAAGAGAUUCAUCAAAGCGCGGGUAAACGGCGGGAGUAACUAUGACUCUCUUGUUGGGAAGGCAAAGUUCAACCGCAGACCUCCUCGUGGUCCUUCCUGGGCAGCGGGUUGGAAGGUUCGUCCGCUCACUGUUGAAGUGGUGCGGUACGUUCUGACUGGCCCUGCUGGCUG